AUUGAACGCUGGCGGCAUGCUUUACACAUGCAAGUCGAACGGUAACAGGUUAAGCUGACGAGUGGCGAACGGGUGAGUAAUGCAUCGGAACGUGCCCGAUCGUGGGGGAUAACGCAGCGAAAGCUGCGCUAAUACCGCAUACGAUCUGAGGAUGAAAGCGGGGGACCGUAAGGCCUCGCGCGAUCGGAGCGGCCGAUGUCAGAUUGGGUAGUUGGUGGGGUAAAGGCUAACCAAGCCGACGAUCUGUAGCUGGUCUGAGGGGACGACCAGCCACACUGGGACUGAGACACGGCCCAGACGCCUACGGGAGGCAGCAGUGGGGAAUUUUGGAAAAUGGGCGCAAGCCUGACUCAGCAAUGCCGCGUGCAGGAAGAAGGCCUUCGGGUUGUAAACUGCUUUUGUACGGAGCGAAAAGGCUCUCUCUAAUGCAGGGGGCUCAUGACGGUACCGUAAGAAUAAGCACCGGCUAACUACGUGCCAGCAGCCGCCGUAAGAC
rnacentral:rRNA from 1 species